UUUUUUCCUGGUAGCAGGAGUUUUUAGCAACUGUAAAUGUUUCCAGAUGGCAAGGAUAAAAAGUUGGUCUGCAAGAAAGCCACCUUCACGACUGAUAUUCGGAAACAUAGUCAUAUUUAAUUGGAGGGGUUUUGAAUGCAGCCUGAAUCCAAGACACAUGAAGAGGAGAUACCUUCUCUGUACUGGGGGAUGGAUCCUGUAUUUUCUGCAUUUGCAAGGCUCUAUAUUAAAGAUAUAAAAGAAAUGAGAGAAUCUAAACAAGUGCCAGGUAUAUUCUUUUAUAAUGGACGUCCAGUAAGACAGGUGGAUGUUGUUGGGAUAGUGGUUCAAAUGAAAGAGCGAGAUGCCUUUUAUAAUUAUGGAGUGGAUGACAGUACUGGAGUUAUAAAUUGUAUUUGUUGGAAAAAUCCCAUGGUAGCAGAAACAUCUUUAUCAGGUUGUCCAAGCACACCCAACAGUCUUACUGUGCUUGAACAGAUGAAGAAACUCCAAGAAAUGGUGAGCCAGAAAACCCAGCUGGAGAUUGGGGAUGUUGUCAGGGUCAGAGGUCACAUCCGAACCUACAGGCAACAAAGAGAAAUUCAGGCUUCAUGUUUUUAUAAAGUGGAUGAUCCUGUGUGUGAUGUUCAGAUUUCAAGAAUGCUGGAGCUCCCCUGUCUCUAUAGAGAAGUUUAUGAUAAACCUUUCCAAUACCCCAAGGAGGGACAGAGUGGCCUGGAGCAUCAGAAUUUCUCAAUCAAUAUGCUGUAUGAGAAAGUGAAAAGCUUUCUAUUAGAAAACAAAAUCCAGACCUUUUACCAACAGGAGCUGGAAACAAUUGAUACUCUGGUGUCGCUGGCUGGUGUGCAUCUACCCAGUCUCAGCUGUCAGGAGGUGAAGUCAAAAAGUGACUCCAGUUCCAAAAGGAUUCACAGUGUUUUUAAGGAAGCAGUAAGGAUGCUACAAGAAAAAGGGAUGGUUUUCCAGAAACCUAGUAGCUCCAAGGACUUAUACCAUGUGACUGUCCAUGAUAAGGAGCUGCUUAAAGUGACCCUUGAUGUGAUUAAAGAAGACUGUCGAAAACCCAGGCAUGCUGAAAAAGGCUGCCAUUUCCUUCAUGUCCUGAGUUGUGUUCGGCAGAGCUAUAACCCCUCUCUGGCUGAAGUGGUGAUGCACCGUGUCUUGGAACUGCUGGAGAGCAACAGUGAUGUUGUCAGCACUAUGGAAGGAUAUUAUAUGACAUUUUAAAGAAAAGAAGAUGAUACGUUUGUUCUGGUCCAUUCAGGAUAAAGGAGGGAAGAAGGGAGAGGUCGAGUGACCCUGAAGAGCUGCUAUUACUUGGUAUGACCUAGAUGGGGAAAAAAGAGCUUUCUGGUUCUCCAAAUGUUGUUUUUGUCCAGCUCCAGAGAAGUUGUCCAAAUAUUUGUUUUAAUAUUCUUGCUGUAUUCCUUGCUAUUCUCAGUGAAAGUUGUAUCAAACUGAUUUUGGACAUCCUAAUACAGCAGGGAAGCUGGAAAAGAAGCUGGGCUCUUUCCUUGCAGUAAGAUGCGACAUAGCUGUCCUCACAUUUACAUCUAGUGAGCUAUAAAGAAAAGUCACUGCAAAAAAGCACUGUUUACAGCAGUGGUCAUGUCAGGAAUCAUUUUUCUGGCUUAAAGACUAAUCUUGUGAUCUUUCCACAUGGUAAUAGCUAUGGAUCUUUCUUUUUAUGUAUACUUUAUAAUAGCUAGAGAAAGGACAUGCAAGCAAACAAUCAAAAGAUUUGCCUGUCCUUUCUGGUGGUGUUGGUGUACCAUGUCUGUAAAUAUGUAUUCCUGAAUGUGCACAGCGUUCUCACUACUAAAGCAGUCCUCACCUUUCUCUGAAAAGUAAUAUUCAGGAAUGGGAUCCUGCAUCCCUUUCCCAUCCUGCAACCUUGCCCGCUGCUUGUCAAGCAUACUUGGAUUCCCCUGGCUACCAUGUGUGCUGCUGAUGCAUGUUGUUGUGGAUUUUGUUCAGACCAGAAUUCUCAAAAUCAGCCACUGUUUUGCUGUGUAUUUUUAAAUUGCUUCCUACAUCACAAAUGAUAAACCAUAAAUCAGAUGCUUUGGAAAAGAAGAUAUGAAAGCCAGCAAGACCCACUAUAUCCAUAUUUAUCUCCAUGCUCCCUUUUGCCUUUUGUGUCUUCUAUUCCUUGUCACCUUUGGGGAAAAAUACUAUCCAUAUCUGUGCUUGCAGAGGAACACAAGGCAUUGAUGAAAUAACAUUGACCUAAAGGAGGUUACUUGCAAGAUGUUUGAUCUGGAAUAAUCAGAACUCUGUCAUGUGCCACAGUUCAAAGCCCCGAGCUGUUCAGUAUUUAUCCUUAGAGAGGGCUCGCUGCUGCAGGGGCUUGUCUGUUUAAUAUAUCUGUUUAAUUAAUGGUAUGAAGGUGAGACCUUUAACUUGAAAGGAGUAGAGAGGAUUGAAUGUAUCCUUCCUCUUUGCUCUGCACCUUCCCUGUAACAGUUGAAAUAGCAGACUCCCAGGAGGCAGAUGUAGUGGUAAACCCUAUAAGGAUUGACAUAGCAGGGAAAAAUAAACCAUAUGCGUGAGGAAAGCCAGUGAGUAGCCCUACGUGUGCCAGGUCUCUGGUUUGUUGUUAUAUUAUAUGCCUCAUUCCAAGCCCUGGCUGCAGUGAGAUAUAGGCUAAGAGAAAAGCAUGACAAAAUAUUUGGCAUUUGCAUUCAGAGGCCUGUGGAAAACUCUGGCCUUAAAGAGAUGGUGCAUUUGUCCAUAGUGGAAUGCUAUGUAUGAAUCAUUCUUUUGCUGUAAAUUCCCUACUUGCUGCAGGGCUCAGUAGUUGGUUUCCCUGCAGGCUGCCCUAUUCCUAGUGUUGCUGCUCUGUUUUGAGUUGGGUACCUUCCAGUCAGAUCUCAAUAUGGGCCCAAACAGGUGCUGAAGGGAUGUACCUGUGCAGAAGGAAAUAAAAGAGGAUUAAGAAAGAAUUAUAGAAGUUUCCCUGUCUGCUCUCCCACCGUGAACGUCUCUGGAAAGCAGGGAAAGAAGUCCAGUGGUACUGAGGGGAAUUGCAACUUUAAUUUAUUCCUACAAAAAGGUCUGGUUGGCCACAGAGGAGAUUUGCUUCUCAGAUUCCUGCUCUGAUUACUGAUCAGUUUGAAGUGAUGCUUAAAAACAAAAGCUCUCUAUUGGAGAAGUAGUUUGGAAUAUCGAUUCCUAAAUUCAGACUCCCUUCAGGAGUUAACCAUAUGUUACUGCUUGAUUAUGGACAAGUCACCUACUUGGCAUGAACUUGAGGGUAUUUUAAAGGAAAGUAUGUGGUGUCUUGGACCAUAUGGAAGAGCAUGGCAUCUAAUUUAAGAGAGUGACUUGGCCGUUUUCUCGAAAGUCCUAAAUUAGCAGAAUCUGAUUUUGCUUGGAAAGGGUUAAAAGAACACUGCUAGCUCAGUUGGAAAGGUGAUCUCUUUUCUUAGAUUAGGAGAGAGAAAGACUCUGGUUCUUCUGAGGGUGUCAGCCAAGUGUGUGAGCUGGAUGAGUUGUGGGAGGAGCUCUGUGCAGCUGAAUCUUCAAGGAAAAGAUAGUGUGGAGAUCGUAUUGCUCUUUAGAGUUUCUUUAAGAUAAAUUUGUAUCAAAAUAGGAUUACAUCUUUGUCCUUUGCAGCUUGGAUAGUCUAAUGUGUUCUGUUGCUUCCAACUUUGACACUGCACUUCCUGUGUUUUAGAUGUGUUUCUAUGUGUAAAGUCUGCCUAAAAUCCCUGGCCACCUAUUUUCCAUGCAUUGGAGGCUGAUGCAGUGUCUUGCCUCUCUGUUCUGCCACUGUUGCAAUUUAAAAGCACCAAUCAACUGUGAAGCAUCAGAGAUGAGGUAGGAAGAAUUCAUCUCUGGAAAGACGGAUAAGUGACUCUGGAAAGAACCUGUCCUUGGAAGUUUUUAAGCUGGUCCUUGCUAGCGAUGCUGGACUCUUAUGACUGAGGGUGCAUUCUGUUGGAGAUUGCUCUCCAAGAACAGGAGAAAGGAGUUUUUCUCACUUAACUCAGGGAAAUAUGAACAUAAGGGAGCUUAGAGUUUUUACUAGAGCGGAGGAGCCUAGAUUUAAGUUACACAGAUUCUAAUUCUGAAUAACCGUACGGAAUACUUGUGCCUUAAGCUUGCAUGCUUUUAUUUUUUCCACGGUAGCCACCCAACACAGACUAACACUUACUCUGGUUGAGUGCGUUCCCUCUCUUGUACCUACAGGGAAUACCGUAUGCAUAUGCCUGCACAGAACUACCCCAGCUAGCUGUGGGAGCACAGAGCUCUCUGUAGGUUGAUUUACCCAUUCACUCAGUAUCUCUACAGUAUGCUUCUGUGACAGCAGUCUAGACAUACCCAUAUUGGUAUAAGUCACCUUUAUGUAAGUCUAACUACACACACUAGGGCUUUUACUGCUAAUAAACUGUCUCUCUGUUUAAAGAUCAUAUCCUUAACCAAGAGAGUCAUAUCAUGCACACUGUUAAAAUUCUUAGACCACACCUACAAAAUAUUGUGCAGAAUAUUCAAUGAAAGCGUGCUUUCUUGUUUUGUUUAAUUUGAAAACUCAUUAAGCAACACAAUUAUUACUGGUUUAUUAAAGGACUUUGAAGGUGGCACUUUAACGUAAAACUGACAAGUGAGAAUUCAUGUUGCAGGACUGCUUCAUGGUCAGUUCCAGUUUCCAUAGAAACAGUUAUGGCAGUAAAAGGCAGGUAAGUAAAAUGGAGUUUUUAAAAGCUGUCAGCAUUUUUAUGUUACCUUUAAAAAGGUAUGUUUCCAUAGAAAUGCAGCACCUGAGAACAAAAAUUACCAAAGAAUCUUAAUAUUCUCUUCCAGCAAAGUAUAAGAUGAUUGCUUUUCUGGUGAGGAAAUGAAGGAACAGCUCUACCUUCAGCCCCCGCCAUCUGCUUAGGUGAGAGAAGAGACGAGGUUGCUUCAUGCCUCAGUUUCCCUCUUUUGUAAACUAGGGAUAAUACAGCUCCCUGUGCAGGGCAUAAGCCUCUAUUUUUCUUAAUGUUAGUCAUUAAAAGCUCUUGAGAUCUAUUGGUGAGAGCUGUUAGAGAAGAGCUCUGUGGGAGUGGAUGAAUGGAUAGAUGCUGGAGUGGGACUUAGUUCUAGCCCAAGCCCCACUUUUGCUAACAGCUUUAUUUUUCUCUGCCUCUCUUUCCAUGCAUAUUGUUUUGCCUGUCUUGUCUUUUUGCUCUCCAGGUCCUAUGAGGCAAUGAUGGUCUCCGUGUUUUUAGUUGUACCAAAUAUUUUUCCUGGAAUCCUGUUCCCUAUUAUGACUUCUUAAAUGGCUUCUUAAAUAUAGAAAUUCAGAUGAAUGAGUUCUGAGUGUUCUUGUUCUCAAAUCUUUGGAUUGUAAAUUUGUACCCAUGAGGGUAUUUUGUCCUUUCUAAAAGACCAAUGCCUUGGAUGCUCAAAGUGAGAUGCUAAAGUAAGAGCUGGACACCAAAAUGCCUUUGAGGAUCAAAAUGUUCAGGACAAUGUAAUGGUCACUUACACAGAUGCUGCUGCUAACUGAUGGAAGCAGUCCUGAAGGAGAAGCUGCCCUUCUCAUAGGUGGUCUCUGGGUGCCUUAGUCACUAGACCGGUGGCUGAAAAAGACUCCUGUUAGUGAAAUGGUCUGUAGGGUUGCGUCCCUGGUGCUGCAUGGCCACGGCUUAACACAUGCCUGGAUUCAGAUAGAUGCCUGGAAUUAUGUGGAUGGUGUGUCCACUGUUCCAAAUUGAGAACCACACCUAUACCAGCCCCUGCUAAAGAAACUAUAGCUCCACUUUCCACAAGAUAUUUUCUGGUUUGGGAUGAUCUCAUUCCUUGUUGCCAAGCAAUAAACAUUCUACAGGGCAUUUGGUUUUUCAAGCAUCUCUAUGACUGCCAUACAAAGUCUAACCUGGGAAUGACUGGGGGGAAAAAAUACUGUUUAUAUCUACCCGUGGGCUGAUGUUGCUGCUGAGGAGGUCCAAAAGUGUUCUUCCUAAAGAAGUCUCUCUACUGGGAAAACCACUUCGCUUUUGCAUGAAGGUAACUUCAAAAAAAAAAUUAAAAAAAAAUCAAUGCACUCCACUGCUGAAUGGUAGAGGUUGCACG